UAUUUGAUGUUUUUAGAGUAUUAGAAAUACAUAUCCUAAAAUAUAGAUGUGUUUUAGACGUAAUUCUACCAACUAACACUAAAAUAUUUAUAAUUCAUUAAAAUAAAAACGUAUUUUAUUUUGAACAAAAUACAGUAUUUAAUUUAUGUUUAUAUAAAUAUUAUAUAAUCACUUAUAUACUAAAGCACAAGUCACUCAACAAAUAAAAAAUUAACAUGUGGAAAAUGUUUAAAAAAAAUUAAAAAACAGUUAACUGAAAAAAUUAAUCUUCGAUCCCUAACUUUAAGCAUAUAGUGCCUAUAUUUUCUCAUAAUAUUCCAUCCACUUUCAAAAUCAGUUGACCACGAUUUUCAAACUGUUUUCUUCUUAUAUAUAAUUUUGAUUUACUAAUAUACGUUUUGUUUUUUUCUCUUUCAAUCUUCUCUGCAACAGAAUGAAAGCUUUUUUAGUUCGUUCGUUCUUUCUUGCAGAAAAUGAGAGUCUGAGUAUUAGGUCCGUUUGCCAAAAAGAGAGAUUGAGUAUUAGGUUCGUUUGAAUUGAACAGGUUAUGGUUUGGAGAUAUGGGAUGGAGCAUAAUCAAAAUUAUUCUUGUGAAAGAGACAAGCAUCAAGUUUUCUCCUCACAAAGAAGCGUUCACUACUGUAAUUGUUUUCAACCCUAAAACUAUUGUUGGAUGUUACGGAACUUGCAUUUCUGAAAGGUAAAUCUACUUUACUUAAUUAUUGCUAGACAAUUCAUUAUAGCUUCAUAAAAAGCAAACUAAAGAUCUAAAAUGUAAUCUUAUAAAUUUAAUAAAGCAUCAAAUAAAGUAAUGUGGGUAUUUCAGAUGUGAGUUUUUUAAAACAAGUUGGUAAAUUAACAUAAUAUAUCAACGCAACAAUUACUUUAACUAUAAAAAAAUAUCAAAUUUAUUAGAUUCAUCGUAUUUAAAUUUAACUAAUUUAUUUGUUGUUAUAAAAUCAUUGAACAAAAUUAAUGGAUUGAAUAAAGUGUUUUUAACCAUAUUUUAUAUUUUGAUAUUUUAAAAAGUUUUGCAAACAUGUAUCCAUUUUAUAGUGACAUUUGUUUUAUCCUUUCAAGUUUCAAUUGUUUUGUUUCAAGGCAAGAAUCUCUAAUAUUAUGUACCACUGUUCAUAUAAUAUUAAUAAUAAUUGAUUAUGAUAGAAUAUUAUAAAAUGAUAAAAAUUUAAAACAGUAAAUUAACCUGUGCGCAGCACAGGCGAUAAUACUAGUAAUGAUAAAUUUGUAAUCUAAAUAGAACCAUGUACUUUCAUUUUUCUAAAUGUUAUUAUUUUUAUCUUAUCAAACUAUGUUAUAUUUAGAGUGACCUAAAUCGAGAUUAAUUUUAUUAAUAUAAUUAUUUACUAAUUUCUCGACUGUUAAUUUAUAUAUUGUUUACUGUAGAUAUUAGAAAAAAAAUAUUAUUUUUAAAAAGUAUGGCUUAAACUCUUUCUUUCCAUGAAAAAGGUUAUAUGCAGGUAAGAUGAAUUUACAGAAAUUUAUAGAUAUUGGUUUAUGUUUAUAUGUGAUGGAUUGUUAGAAAUAAUUUGAAGUGACCAUUUCAUUUAUAUAAUUAGUUGUAUGUUAGGAUGAUGGAAUAUCAUGUGCUAAAUAAAAGAUAUUUUUUUGUCAAUGCAGGUAUGCAAUUUUUUAGUUGAAUACAUGGAAAACUACAUGCAGGAAAUAUUAUAUAUAUAUAACUAUGAUCAUUCAACAUGCUGCAUGAAUUUAAUCUUCUAAUAACAAAAUGUGUUAAAUUUUGUUUGUAAUAUACAGCAAAUUACAGAUUUUUAAAUAUUUUAUUUUAAUAUAACUAAUUAAAUAAUAUUAUUAAUAAAAAUUACUUUACAAAAAAUAAUUUAAUAUAUUAUACUGAUAUAUUUAGUGUUCAAAAAAAUUAAAAUUAUAUUCCAAUCAAUUCUUUUUAUUCUCGUUUAUAUGAAUUUGAAUUCAGUUAUGAAGAAAUAAUAUUUUUAUUACUCAGUACUACAAUUUAAAAAUAAAUAAGUUUAAUAUUUUCUUUAUAAAAUAAAAAUAUUAUUAGUAUGUUGAAAAUUAUAUAAAAGAAUAGACCAGUUCUUCUUAUAAUCAUGUUGUGAUAUAAAAAAAACUUAUUAAACUGGUGAUAAUUUUUUAUUGAAAAUUAUAACUUUAAGUUUCUUUGAUAUUUUUAGAUUAUAUAUACAUGUUGAACAAUCAUCAUAUUUUGCGUAACUAACGUUUUUAUUUUCUCAAUAUCUUUGAUUACGACUUGAAUAUGAAACAUUUUCAUAAUAUUUUUGUAGUAAUUUUAAAUUUAAAAAUAUCUUUUAGGAAUUAUGUGCCAGUCAGAUUCUAAUUUCUUUUGAUUAACGGAGGCGUGCAAAAAUUUCCUCGGAUUAAGGCAUUUAGACAUGAAAUUUGUUUAUAAAACGCUUCAACAUCAAUAUCUGUUUAUCUGAAUUCGGUGCAAUAUACAAAUUCGAAGUAAGUUAUAUUAAAAGACACGAUGUGAAUACGAGGAGAAUUCGAUGAGUUUUGAGAUGUAAAGAGAGAUACAAGCAAGAACAAUAAGAAUAAUGUAAACUUUAGUUCUUGUAUCGUGUUCCUCAAGUGAAUACGCCUUCCUCAAAUCAGUUCCUCUCCUUGUAUAUUCGAACCUUUUCCGAUCAUAUUCUUUUCUUAAGUUGGCGUAAAGACCUAGCCGUUUCUGAGAUAGAGGGCCGACACUCCGAAAUAAUGGGCCGAGGUCAGUUUAUUAGAAGAACAUGUCGAGAGAUUCAAUU